rnacentral:lncRNA from 1 species
GUUGACCCCAGCCUCAGCAGGCCCUGGCCCAGCUCUGGACACAGUCUCCGUGGGCAGACCCUGCAGGGGCGUCUGGCAGGAGUAAGUGGACCCCGAGGAGGGCUGCCUCUGAUGGCUGCACGGCCUGAGGGGCUGUUGGAGUCUCUGGGGAAGACCAGGGCAGGGCCAUGGCUGAGACGACCUCCCCAGGCUGAGGGACCCCCGCACACUGUCCAGGAUGCAGGCCUGAGGGAGCACCCCUCGGCUGGAGCGCCGAUCCUGGAAGAGCAGAGCAGAGGAGCCAGUGGGCAGGGGUCCGAGAGGAGGAGUCUGGGGCGCAGGGCUCACACCCGACCUCUUGCCAAGCGCUGUGCCCCUGGAGGGCCCCAGUCACGCGGAGGCCCUGAGCUGCCACGGCCACUGCCAGGCAAUCUGGCUCCUGGCCCCCCUGCUGCCUCAGUUGCCAUGGUGACCCCGGCCCAGGGCAGUCCCCCUGGACCACAGAUGCUGGGCUUGAUAAGUUUAUCUGCCUCAGGAUCCGGUGGUGACAGGCUGAGUGAGCAGGGCUAGGGAACCUCAGAGGCGAGGUUGGGCAUUUGGACGGGACUGUGCAAGGCAUCCCCGUAUGGCAGGUUCCAAGCUGGGUGCUGGGGCCCGGUGACAGGAGAGAGCGGGCCCUGCUGUCGCCAGGCAAGCAGUGUGGUUGGAGAAAGGGCCUGUGUGGGAAGUGGAGGGAGUCCUAGGAAGAUGGGGUGAGCCCCCAGAGAGGCCCCGACACCCAGCAGGGGACGCAGAGGACAGAAGAAGCGGGGGGUCAUCACUGGGCCUGAGCCCGGCAGCAGCAAGUGAUGAGAACCGAGCAGAGGCAGCCAGCGGGGCUGAGACCUCAGGCAGGAAGGGGCCGGAGCAUGGAGGGCGUCAGGAAAUGGAGCACAGGGCAAUUCUUGUCCUCUGCCCCCUGAUACCCACGCGGUCUCCUCUGCCUCCGCGCUUGGGGCUCCUCUGCUGUGCCGAGGGCUGACCCCCAGCUGAAACGCAGGCUCCUGCUUCCCGCUGGCCUGGCUGGGCGCUGACUUCCCAUCCCUCCUGUCCCUGGGCGGGGGCGAUCUCGAGGGCUCAGAGAGUUGGAGUGGACUGGCCAUUUCACCCAACUGCCCUCCAGCCUCAGAAGCCAUCUGAGGAUGCGGGGGGCCCCAGAGGAACUGGGAGGGGCCGCACCUCC